rnacentral:rRNA from 1 species
UACGUAGGGGGCAAGCGUUGUCCGGAAUUAUUGGGCGUAAAGAGCUCGUAGGCGGUUCAGUAAGUCGGGUGUGAAACCCCCAGGCUCAACCUGGGGACGCCACCCGAUACUGCUGUGACUAGAGUCCAGUAGGGGAGUGUGGAAUUCCCGGUGUAGCGGUGAAAUGCGCAGAUAUCGGGAGGAACACCAGCGGCGAAGGCGGCACUCUGGGCUGGAACUGACGCUGAGGAGCAAAAGCGUGGGGAGCGAACAGG